rnacentral:siRNA from 1 species
AACAAGAGUUUGGUCUAGGUGAGG